GAUGAAGUUCCUUCGGGAAUGGAUUAGUGGCGAACGGGUGAGGAACACGUGAGAAACCUGCCUUUCAUUCUGGAAUAACACCGGGAAACCGGUGCUAAUACCGGAUACUCCAUCUUGGCGGCAUCGCCGAGCUGGGAAAAAAUUUUGAUGAAAGAUGGUCUCGCGGCCUAUCAGCUAGUUGGUGAGGUAAAGGCUCACCAAGGCGACGACGGGUAGCCGGCCUGAGAGGGCGACCGGCCACACUGGGACUGAGACACGGCCCAGACUCCUACGGGAGGCAGCAGUAGGGAAUAUUGGGCAAUGGGCGAAAGCCUGACCCAGCGACGCCGCGUGAGGGAUGAAGGUCUUCGGAUUGUAAACCUCUUUCAGUAGGGAGGAAGCGAAAGUGACGGUACCUAAAGAAGAAGCACCGGCUAACUAUGUGCCAGCAGCCGCGGUAAUACAUAGGGUGCAAGCGUUGUCCGGAAUUAUUGGGCGUAAAGAGCUCGUAGGUCGUUUGUCGCGUCGAUUGUGAAAAUCUGAGGCUCAACCUCAGACCUGCAGUCGAUACGGGCAAACUAGAGUGUGGUAGGGGAGACUGGAAUUCCUGGUGUAGCGGUGGAAUGCGCAGAUAUCAGGAGGAACACCAAUGGCGAAGGCAGGUCUCUGGGCCAUAACUGACACUGAGGAGCGAAAGUGCGGGGAGCGAACAGGAUUAGAUACCCUGGUAGUCCGCACCGUANACGGUGGGCACUAGUUGUGGGAACCUUCCACGGUUUCCGCGACGCAGCAAACGCAUUAAGUGCCCCGCCUGGGGAGUACGAUCGCAAGAUUAA
rnacentral:rRNA from 1 species